AUGAACGCUGGCGGCGUGCCUAAUACCUGCAAGUCGAGCGCACGGACGAGAAGCUUGCUUCUCUGAUGUUAGCGGCGGACGGGUGAGUAACACGUGGAUAACCUACCUAUAAGACUGGGAUAACUUCGGGAAACCGGAGCUAAUACCGGAUAAUAUUUUGAACCGCAUGGUUCAAAAGUGAAAGACGGUCUUGCUGUCACUUAUAGAUGGAUCCGCGCUGCAUUAGCUAGUUGGUAAGGUAACGGCUUACCAAGGCAACGAUGCAUAGCCGACCUGAGAGGGUGAUCGGCCACACUGGAACUGAGACACGGUCCAGACUCCUACGGGAGGCAGCAGUAGGGAAUCUUCCGCAAUGGGCGAAAGCCUGACGGAGCAACGCCGCGUGAGUGAUGAAGGUCUUCGGAUCGUAAAACUCUGUUAUUAGGGAAGAACAUAUGUGUAAGUAACUGUGCACAUCCUGACGGUACCUAAUCAGAAAGCCACGGCUAACUACGUG
rnacentral:rRNA from 1 species